GGUGUUGACUGUAGAUGUGAGUUGACCUCGAUUUUGUGUCAUACCAGUUUUAUUUGUGGUAAGAGUGAAAAAAGACGAACCGGCGAAUCCCUGCCUGAUGCUGUUCUGCCGCCCCAGCAGUGGUGUGGAGAGAAGGUCAGUUGUGGCGCCUUUGAAAUGAACCAACUCUGCAAUGACAGACCGCAGUUACCCUGAAGAACUUGAGGAGCUCAGGGAACUGUGCGGCAGGGAGGUCACCGCGUCUGUGUGGCCUUGGUGAUACAGUGAAGGGCGAGAGCUGGUGCAGGCAGUCAGUGUAGGAGGAAUGAGACAAGGUGAGGCAGCGGAGGCAAGGGAUCAGAUCAGCUGCACGAGGCCCCAGCAUUGGCCUCGACGUAGUAUCUGCGAGCGUGUGCUGCGUGGUGUGGCUGGCGUGAGUAUCGGUGGUCAUCGUGGCCCACACUGGCCCUCCUUGGCUGGCCGCUGCGCACCAGGACCACACACUUCUAGAGGGCCAGGAGUGCGCUGAGCUGAGAUUGAGCCACACAGCGCUGCCUCAAAUAUAAGUGAUCCGUGUCAGUAAGGACCUUGCGUCGGGUCCUUCCCCCUCGCCUCCCUCAGCCACCGCCUCAAGGUCUCCGUCACGUCAUCCUUCGCUUCGCCCAGCCUUCCCUCUCGCCU